AACCUCCUAACCCUAGCCGUCACUCUUACUCCUCAGUCCUCUCAAAAAUCACUCUCAAACCCUCUCCUUUCACGGUCUCAUCAUUCACCACCGGCGAUCGCCACAUCCUACCCCCUCAGCCCCUCACCGCCAACGCUAAGAUCCUCCCCUCUCACUCUCGACGUCACCGCUCACUACAGCAGUGAGUCGUCGCGCCCUUGAGUCGUCGCCGUCUUCCAGUGUUCGCCAUCUUCGCCGGUCUUCGCGUCUGCGCCUCUUCUUCGUUUUCGCCAACAGCUGCUCUGCUCUCCGCCGUUCCUCCCUCGCUGCCUCAUCCUCGAUGGCUCUGAUUUGGUUGGUUGUGCUCGCACCGGUCAGGGUAAAACUCUUGUUUUUGUGUUUCUCAAACUAGAGUCUUUGACUCAUUUGCACUGAUUGGUAACUUAAGGUUGAAAUCAUGGAACCAAUCCUGAUGGAAAUUGAUGGUGGAAGCCAGCUCCGAGCUUCAGCUGUUCCUUUUCCAUUUGCUAGGUGUUAUCAAGUUGAAGCUUUGGAAAGGGCUCUUCGUGAGAACUCUAUAGUGUUCUUAGAAACUGGUUCAGGCAAGACUCUGGAUAUGCUUAUUUUCUACGUAAGCCUUCUCAAUACAUUGCAGUCUUCUUGGUUCCACAAGUUGUCUUGGUCACUCAGGUAUGUCAUUUUUCUUUCCAAAAUGCAUUUUCUUCAAAAAGGUUAAUCCAAAUAAGCAUGCUUUAAUCUUUCAAAAAUGCUACCAUUUAACAUGUGUUUUGUAUUUUAACAUGUAUUUUAUAUUAAUAACUGAUUUUUUUUAUACACAUAAUAUGAUUAUUGUUUACAUGGUUACACCAACCCAAUAAUCUCAACAUAGAUGAUUAGAUACAGUGAUACACAAUAAAAAAAAUCAAGAAGGUUUGAAUCAAGAAUAUCAUAAUCAAAUCAGCCAAUUAAUAGAACCACAGCAUAUCAGCCAAUCAAAAAAAUGAAAAAUUACAAAUAAACUAACCAAUUAAAACAACAAUUAAAGUUAAAAAGAUACCUUCUAUAGAGAGCUGGGGCGGCGAGACAGUGGCUGCGUGAUGAAUGAACGGGGCAAGACCAGUUGCAGUGGCGACAGUGUCUUCGAAGUUCAAACGGUGACGUAGACGACCAUAGUGGGGAAGGCAGCUUCCAACUGUUGCAAUGGCGGUGGUUACAGGGCGGUGGCUGGACAGAGCAAGUGUCGGAGUGAGGGAGGAGCUCGAGAUGAGAGGCAGAGGUGAGAGGAAGGAGAAGUGACUGAGAGAUAGCUGCUCAGCUUAGGUUAGGGUUUCUAUGAAUGAAACGUCGUUUGGGCGCAAAUUUUGGAAACCGGCCGAGUUCCAGUUCGAUUUGACUAGCCUGUUCCUGGCCGGUCCAAUGGUAAUUGGUACAAUCAUGAGUUUUUGAAUCCAGCGAUUAUGCCUUCUGACCAAUCCGUCUUUCUCAUCGGUUCACGAUUCAACCGGUUUGAUCGGUCGAUUCAAACCAGUUUUUUUAGAACUUUGCAUAAAACAGAUUGGUGCAGCGGUUGUUUUCUUGGCUUCCAUAUUGGAAGAGCCAAGUUCGACUCCCACCUCUUGCAUUGUUUGUAAAAACGUCUCAACCCUGCAUGCUGACGUCAUCAGUCGCGGGUAGGUUGUUGAUUGUGAGUGUUGACUAUUUUAUCAGGUUUGGUUAAUGCCGAUUUUGACCAAUUUGUUUCCUUAAAUGGUUAGAAUGCUAAUUCGAACCGGUUUAAUGUUUGAUUCACUAGUUUUUAGUUUAAUCGACAGGUUCGGUCCGAUUUUAACACCAUAAAUUUUUUUGAAUGUCACAUGUUCUUUGACUUAUGAAGAAAACCCAUCUAUAUCUAUAAAUCGUGUGUAGGUCAAUUCUAUUAUGAGAUGGUAUCAAAGAAAAGUCAUCAUACGCUAUCAUGAACAUAGUUUAAGGAUUUGGAUGGAUGAGAAAUACAAGGAGCUAUAAGUAUCUUAUUGGGUGAUAAGUUCAGACUUAUUUUUACAGCUUCAAAGAUGUAUAUAACAUGAAAUAUCAUCGACAUUUGAAUAUAUAUUCUAGCAUUAAGGUUGAAUUAUUCGGUCUCUGUACAAUUUUGUGGUAUUCUUAUGGAUAUGCAAAGUUAAUAUGCCGCUUCAAAUGAAAUUGAACCAAAAUAAAAACUUGAUUUCGUAAAGCUAAAGUAUAUAUUCUUAAAGAUUAUAACGGUGUGUUGAAAGAGAUAUAAGGAGCUUUGGAAUGUAGAGGUUGAGAACCCUUUUCUUUGUCAAUCUGAUUCCUUUGUUAGAAAAUGGUAUAAUUUUUUUACCUUCUAUGAUUUAAAUUUUUUUUUUCAAAAACCGAAAUUAUUUCAAUUCAAGACUAAAAUAACCAAUUUAGGAAUAAGAUGGACGUUGGAUCCUGUUUUAUUUUGGAGUAUUAAUAAAAGAAUCAAAUUUUUGAAUACUGUGUAUUGGUUUAUUUAUAAGGAUUGCGGUGUACCAAAGUUGAUUGAAGGAUAUCACACUCUGCCCACCAUAUAUCGAUGUUUGAUGUGUAUACCACUAAUGAAAAAACGAAAAUCCUAGACAAUAUGCUCCAUAUAUUGGUUUAUAUUAUUUAGUUUUUUUGUUAUAUAUAUAUUUUUUGAGUUAUUCGUACAACACUAUGGAAUUUGAUUAUCAUUCAUAAAGUUUAUGAAUAAGAUUUAUAGAUAGACACAAUAUUAU